UCUACGGGACGCUGCAGUGAGGAAUAUUGGUCAAUGGCCGUAAGGCUGAACCAGCCAAGUAGCGUGAGGGAAGACUGCCCUAUGGGUUGUAAACCUCUUUUAUGCGGGGAUAAAGGUGUCCACGUGUGGAUGUUUGCAGGUACCGCAUGAAUAAGGACCGGCUAAUUCCGGUCCAGCAGCCGCGGUAAUACGGAGGGUCCGGGCGUUAUCCGGAUUGAUUUGGUUUAAAGGGAGCGUAGGUCGGUCUUUAAGCGUGCCGUGAAAUUUUGUGGCUCAACCAUGGGAGUGCGGCGCGGACUGGAGACCGUGAGUGCGCGGAAGGCAGGCGGAAUUCGUGGUGUAGAGGUGAAAUGCUUAGAUAGCACGAAGAACCCCGAUUGCGAAGGCAGCCUGCCGCAGCGUUAAUGACGCUGAAGCUCGAAAGCGCGGGUAUCGAACAGGAUUAGAUACCCGGGUAGUC
rnacentral:rRNA from 1 species